UACGGAGGGGACUAGCGUUGUUCGGAUUUACUGGGCGUAAAGGGCGCGUAGGCGGUUUAUUAAGUUAGAAGUGAAAGCCCAAGGCUCAACCUUGGAACUGCUUCUAAAACUGAUAAACUAGAGUACGGGAGAGGAUAGUGGAAUUCCUAGUGUAGAGGUGAAAUUCUUAGAUAUUAGGAGGAACACCGGUGGCGAAAGCGACUAUCUGGAACGUUACUGACGCUGAGGCGCGAAAGCGUGGGGAGCAAACAGG
rnacentral:rRNA from 1 species